rnacentral:misc_RNA from 1 species
GAUGAAGAACGUAGCGAAAUGCGAUAAGUAAUGUGAAUUGCAGAAUUCAGUGAAUCAUCGAAUCUUUGAACGCACAUUGCGCCCGCCAGUAUUCUGGCGGGCAUGCCUGUUCGAGCGUCAUUUCAACCAUCAAGCCCCCGGCUUGUGUUGGGGACCUGCGGCUGCCCGCAGGCCCUGAAAACCAGUGGCGGGCUCGCUGUCACUCCGAGCGUAGUAGCAUAUAUCUCGCUCAGGGCGUGCUGCGGGUUCCGGCCGUUAAAAGCCUUUUUUACCCAAGGUUGACCUCGGAUCAGGUAGGAAGACCCGCUGAACUUAAGCAUAUCAAUAAGCGGAGGA